rnacentral:tRNA from 1 species
GCGGAAGUGGUGAAAUUGGUAUACACGCUAUCUUGAGGGGGUAGUGCCUUAAUUGGCGUGCGGGUUCAAGUCCCGCCUUCCGCACCA